AAUUAAAUUCUAAAUGAACAUCAAGAAUUAUAACCUCUCCAAUUAUCCCCUAAUUACCAUUCUAAUCAAUCUACAAUCAAUUAACAUUCUAAUCACAAUCAUCUAAAAAUUCUAAACAAUUACUAAUCAAUUAAUAUCUAAUAUUAUCCUAAUUAAAUUCGACUAAUGAAACAAAUUAAUUCUAAUCAAAUCCAAUUACCUACAAUUAACAAGACUAAUUCUAAAAUUACCAAACAAAUCUAAACUAAUCACACAGCAUGGGCCUGAAUGCUAAGCCCACUCUAGGGGGAAGUUCUACGGGUGGAGUGUGGUAAUAGACAAUGAAGGAUCGGGCCUAAGGCCCAAGUAAUCCAAUACACCAGCAACAGGUUGUACAUCCCUGGAGUUCAUCUUCUUGCGAAAGAUUCCCCUUCGAAAAGACCGCGACGCACCUGAACGACUCCGCCGCGCCGGAGUUCGUCCCCAGCGGCAGCGGAGCUCCCUUCUGACUCGCGCCUGCCUCUCCUUCGCCCACUCAAAUCCAAUUCCAAAUCCUCAGACAAUCUUUCCUACUUCCUCCCUAAACACACGAACGCGAUUCCAAACCUCUCACGAAUCUCAAUCAAAAGAUCCUAAAUCAGAUCCUCAUAAGGAGGGAAUCAAUACCUAGGGCUAUGUUUCGUUAGCACAAAACUGAUACGACGACAACGGAUUCGACGUGGAUUGGAAGAUUCUUACCUAUCUCUGAAGGCGAUGACGCGACGAUGAAGACGUGCGCGUGACGGUAGUUGGAGCGGUAGUUCGGCGAGAGGUUUGGGAAGAUCUGCACGGUGAAGAUGGAUGAACGAGAAGAAUCUGUUUCGCCGGUUAUCGCGCGUCCACCGUUCUACAACAAUUAUGCAGGAACGGUUAUGGAACGGUUAAGAAGAUUGAGGAAGAAAAUGAAAAACAGAGCUUGUUAGCGAUGGGAGAGAGAAGAAGAUUCUGGAAAGAAAAUUCGAGAAAGGAAGAAAAAAACUCUCAAAUCACUUCUGUUAAUCACGUAUUUAUAGCAGCUACAUCUUGCGUUUUGGAUUUGAUAUGUCGUUUUCAACUUCUUCUGCGUUUUGCAUCUUGUAGUUUGGAGUUUUGAUUGUAGCGUUUUGCAAUUGAAGCUUGGUUGUCGUUGGGAUCUUAUUGCAACCGUUGGCUCACGUGUUGGCUUGUGCGUUUAAACACCGUUUGGAAGCCACUUUCGUUGGCAGCUUGGAACACGUUUCGUAAGCUUGUGAGUGAGUUGUUGUGAACGGCUUGUUGCGUAUGUGCGUUGGAAGGUUAUGCAGCUUUUUAGCAGUUAGUGGCUUGUUGGCUUUUUACGUUUUUUUUGCGGUAAUGCUGGCUUGGAGUUCUGUCAUGGCUUAUGGUUUGUGAGUUCGUAGUUGCAGCUGCGGUUUACGUUGUGCACGACUGGUAUAUUGUACAACCUAUGCAACUCGAAAAUAUCUCUCGCACGCAGCUUGGCGUCUUGGCUUCGUAGCGCUUGGAUUUUCUGCGAUUUCAUUGUGGUGUAGCUUAAGUUUGUAGCAGGAUUUGGUUGUAACUGCUGUUUUGAUUUUCCAUUCGCAUUUUGCAGCUGUUUUGCGCUCGUGACGACGCCGUUCAUGCAGCUCGUGGCUCACUUAUGCCUUUUAAUGUUCACGUGGCCGUUUGGCUCAACUUGAUGUCGCGUGGUCAUUGGCUUUCGUUCGCAUAGCAGCUUUUGGUACAUAGCAGCUUUUGGUGCAUAGCAGCUUUCCACUUGCCUCUUUUUGUUUUAUCUAAUGAACACUAUUUUUUUAUCUAAUGAACACUAUUUUACUUGGGUA